rnacentral:lncRNA from 1 species
AUGUGUGUGCACACAGACUCACAGAUGCACACACACUGCACACAGUUGAGAGACUUAAGACACACACACACGCCCCACGCACACAGAGAAACACAGUGUAUACAGACACAUGCAUGCACACACGUGUACAUAGAGACAAAGACCUGCACACCACAAUCUGUAGACAUACAGGUACACAUGUUGCAUGCACACACACUGCAUGCACAGAGAGACACAUAGGCGUGCACACCUGCAUUUGCACACAAAAACUUACACACAUGCACACACACUAUGUGCAGUCACAGAUACAGGCACACACUGUGUGCAGACACCAGAACACAUGCACACACACACGUACUGAGUGCACCAACGCACACACGUACUGUGUGCAUACGCACUGCAUGCACAGACACAGGCACACACACAUGCACACAUACACUGCAGGCACACAGACACAGGCGCACACACACUGCAUACACAGAAACAGGCACACACACACUGCAUACACAGACACAGGCACACACACACUGCAUACACAGGCACACACACACAUGCACACAAAUACUGCAUGCACACAGGCACACACACACAUGCACACACACACACUGCAUACACAGACACAGGCACAUACACAUGCACACACACUGCACACACACACAUGCACACACACUGCAUACACAGGCACACACACAUGCACACACACUGCAUACACAGACACAGGCACACACACACAUGCACACACACGCUGCAGGCAUACAGACACAGGCACACACACACUGCAUACGCAGACAGGCACACACACUGCGUACACAGACACAGGCACA